rnacentral:rRNA from 1 species
GAAGCGGCAACAGCUCAAAUUUGAAAUCUGACCCUUUGGGGUCCGAGUUGUAAUUUGCAGAGGGUGUUUCGGGCACGGUGUCGGUUUAAGUCCUUUGGAACAGGGUGUCAUAGAGGGUGAGAACCCCGUAUGUGACCGGUCGCCAAACCCAUGUGAAACCCCUUCGACGAGUCGAGUUGUUUGGGAAUGCAGCUCAAAAUGGGUGGUAAAUUUCAUCUAAAGCUAAAUAUUGGCCAGAGACCGAUAGCGCACAAGUAGAGUGAUCGAAAGAUGAAAAGCACUUUGGAAAGAGAGUCAAACAGCACGUGAAAUUGUUGAAAGGGAAGCGCUUGCGACCAGAUCUGCUCGCGGGUGAUCAGCGGUGCUUUUCGCGCCGUGCACUCGUCCGCGAUCAGGCCAGCAUCGGUUCAGGCGGCCGGAUAAAGACUCGGAGAAUGUAGCUCCCUCCGGGGAGUGUUAUAGCUCCUUGUGCAAUACGGCCAGCCGGGACCGAGGACCGCGCU